AGAAACGUGGGCAGGGACGAGACUGCCAGGGGCCAGUGUGGCCAGCCGUCCCUCUCUUUUCCCUUCCUUUCUUCAUUCUGGGAUUCUCCCCUUGGCCAGGCAGGAGGUGCCAGCCAUGGGACAAGCCCCUUCUGUGGGAAGGACUCAUGAAUGUCCAAGAUGAUGAAAUGUGUUUACCAUUUACUAGUGUUUGGGAACCUAUGGAGGAGGGGGGUCAGAGAUUUCCCUGGCUCCCAUUUCCCUUGCUGACUUUCAGAUCUCAGUUAUCAGUGUCUUUAGAGAUAACCCAGUGCUGAAGGACUCCAAGGGAAGCUGGGGACUUCUACAUCUGCUGAGAACUGCUGGGAGCUCUCUCCUCCUAGGGAGCAAUGGGACAAGGAAAGCAGGCAUGUGUUUAAAAGGAACAAGGACAGAAUGAUCUUUUUCUGCCUAUGUCUUUGGGCUCACUAAGCAAAUACUUUGUGAGAUGAUUUUAAAUGAGCUGAGCCAUUUUGAGGUUAUGGUGAAGGCACAGAAAGAGACAGUGGGAUAAAAUGGAAAAGAGCACUGGAAUAGGAAGGAGGAAGGGUGGCUUCUUAUCCUAAUGUUUAUACUUAACAGAGCUUGAGGAAGUCAUUUGGUCCCCAUUGGGUUUUAUUCAUCUGUAAAAUCGGGAUACUGACGCUUGCAUCCGUAGUUCAUUGGGUAGGAUGAAGAGCAUAUGAAAUAGAUGGAGAGGUUGGGGUUGGUCUCAAAAUUUCCAAUAUCCCAACCAGCAUGGCAAGCCAAAUAACAUGGAUGCAUGAAAUGGUAUGUAUGUAAGAAGUUUGGAAAUGAUAAAAGAUUAAAUCCAAGAGUGAAGGGAUGAUAGUUCCUUAGGCUCAUUUCACAUCUUUUAAGGUUUAUGGUUUGUAGUCCCCCAGUGGCCACCCGGGUUAAACACAGCUUAUGUAGACAACGUUCUGGUGCCAAGAGUCAAAAUCCCCAAGGGGCUUUAAGGUAGGACAUGGAAGAGGGUAGGUAGGAAAUACGGAAGGAAAAGAUGGUGACAGUAGAGAUGGUGACAGCAGAGGUGGUGACAGCAGAGAUGGUGACAGCAGAGGUGGUGACAGCAGAGGCAAGAGGAGAGCAGGGCGAGAGGAAGAUAUGUGAGAGAAGGAUGAAGAGAGCCGGAGGAAACAGGUGUGUGUACGCACACACGGGCGCUGGGUGCCGUCAGUGGUGGCUUGGGUGCCCUGUGAUCCAUGCUGGCCCA